rnacentral:rRNA from 1 species
AGAGUUUGAUCCUGGCUCAGGAUGAACGCUGGCGGCGCGCCUAACACAUGCAAGUCGAACGGCACCCGCCCUCGGGUGGAGGCGAGUGGCGAACGGCUGAGUAACACGUGACCAACCUGCCCCACGCACCGGGAUAGCCGGGGGAAACCCCGGGUAAUACCGGACGUCCCCGGGACGGCGCAUGCCGUCCCGGGGGAAGCCCAGGCGGCGUGGGAUGGGGUCGCGGCCCAUCAGGUAGACGGCGGGGUAACGGCCCACCGUGCCUACAACGGGUAGCCGGGUUGAGAGACCGACCGGCCAGAUUGGGACUGAGACACGGCCCAGACUCCUACGGGAGGCAGCAGUGGGGAAUCUUGCGCAAUGGGGGCAACCCUGACGCAGCGACGCCGCGUGCGGGACGAAGGCCUUCGGGUCGUAAACCGCUUUCAGCAGGGACGAGAAGAGACGGUACCUGCAGAAGAAGCCCCGGCUAACUACGUGCCAGCAGCCGCGGUAAUACGUAGGGGGCGAGCGUUAUCCGGAUUCAUUGGGCGUAAAGCGCGCGUAGGCGGCCGCGUAGGCGGGGGGUCAAAUCCCGGGGCUCAACCCCGGUCCGCCCCCCGAACCCCGCGGCUCGGGUCCGGUAGGGGAGGGUGGAACACCCGGUGUAGCGGUGGAAUGCGCAGAUAUCGGGUGGAACACCGGUGGCGAAGGCGGCCCUCUGGGCCGAGACCGACGCUGAGGCGCGAAAGCUGGGGGAGCGAACAGGAUUAGAUACCCUGGUAGUCCCAGCCGUAAACGAUGGACGCUAGGUGUGGGGGGGACGAUCCCU